rnacentral:sRNA from 3 species
AUUCUGCCCAUACGGGGAAGGAUGAGAAGCUUCGACCAAGGUUCGAUUCGAGCGUAGCGAGAAAGCGUUGCCGCAGGCAACGACCCGAAGGGCGAGGAGCAUCGCGACGAGUCAUCCUUCCCCCACCACCA